GGGUUGCACAGCGGAGCCCACUGAGAGGCUGCCCAAGGCAGAUGGAGGAAUGGAAACUGAGAAAGCAUCAUAGGCUCAUGUCUAACAACAUGAACAGACUCUGGAACCUCAGAAGUAAAAUGCAAAGGCGAGGACAGCCCAGGAGGAAGCUCCACUCCUGCCUAAGGACCCCAAAGCACUCAAACGCUAUCUUCUGAAGGACUUUGGGAGACAAUAGAGUACCCAAUCUUUGCCUCACCCCACCCAGCCAUUCUUCACUUGGUUAAUUGAAGAGACACCACCAUUAAUGCGGAUAUUAACACUUCUAGGAAGACCUCUGCACUCCUGAUGCUCACCAGCUUCUUCUCUAUCCCCUCAUCCACCCAUUAGGUUUGCAUGGCUGCAAUGAAAAUUGGUUAGAUGGUAUGACAUUUUGUCCAGUCAGUCUACUAUGUUUUGAUUCCUUUAUAUUUAGUGUCCCUUCACCCCACUUCUUUUCAAAAGAAGACUAGCUUUCUUGAGAACACAGAGCAUCUGCCAUGGAGAUGUUGUGAGCACCAGAGCAGCCCAAGGCUGUUGAGUAACACCUGCCUGCAGCUGGACUCAAGAUGGGACUGGGUUCUGAGAAAGACUGCACACUCUCCCUAUUGGAAAGACAGACAUCAUUUCGGGAAAUAUUCAAUAAAAAGUUUCUGAGACACAGAGUCCCAUUCAUGGUGGGAGGGAUUGAAGGGAGCUGUUUUCCCUCUUAAGGCUUGGCUCAGUCUGGAAGGAUGCUAUUUAAUGUAACCCAGAACUGAUGAUUUUGUUGAUCAUGUUUCAAAACCCCUGCCCUUUAAACGAGUUCCCAGAGUAAAUUGAGUGCAAUUGUGGGAAAUUGAAGUUUUUUUUAAAAAAGUCAUUAUUAUUUUUUUGAGAUUUGAGGGAGAAGAUGACAGGAGACGCUGAAUGGAAACCUGCCCAAGGACAGAAAAAUAAAAGAGGCUGGGGGAGGUGGGGAUGAAUAGAGCAAAGAAAGACGAGAAUUCUGGGUCGGAAACUCUUGCUGAAUGAGUCAUUCUGCAGGACAAAUAAAAC
rnacentral:lncRNA from 1 species